CAGUAGCCGCGGGAAUACGGAGGAUCCAAGCGUUAUCCGGAAUCAUUGGGUUUAAAGGGUCCGUAGGCGGUCUUGUAAGUCAGUGGUGAAAGCCCAUCGCUCAACGGUGGAACGGCCAUUGAUACUGCAGGACUUGAAUUAUUGGGAAGUAACUAGAAUAUGUAGUGUAGCGGUGAAAUGCUUAGAGAUUACAUGGAAUACCAAUUGCGAAGGUAGGUUACUACCAAUUGAUUGACGCUGAUGGACGAAAGCGUGGGUAGCGAACAGGAUUAGAUACCCCUGUAGUCCCUGUCUCUUAUAC
rnacentral:rRNA from 1 species